rnacentral:rRNA from 1 species
AGCGAACGCUGGCGGCAGGCCUAACACAUGCAAGUCGAACGAACUCUUCGUAGUUACUGGCUGACGGGGGAGUAACACGGGGGAAGGUUCCUUUUGACUCCGGAUAACUCAGUGACACUUGUGCUAAUGCAGGAUGAGCUCCUCGGGGAAAAGAUACGUCGUACUUGGAGAGGCCGGCGUUCGUUUAGCUUGGUGGGGUGGUAAGAGCUGACCAAGGCGUCGCUCAGUAGCUGGUCUGAGAGACAGACCAGCCACACUGCGACUGUGACACGGCCCAGACUCCUACGGGAGGCAGCAGUGGGGAAUCUUGCGCAACGGGGGAAAGGAUGAAGCAGCCAGGCCGCGUGAAUGAUGAAGGUGUGAGGAAAGUAAAAUUCUUUCAUCGGGGACGAUAAUGACGGUACCCGGAGAAGAAGCACCGGCUAACUUCGUG